GGGGAAACCUCAAAUACUCAUCAUGCUAAACAGAUGUUAGAUAAAACAAUAUCAGAUUUAGAAAAAGAAUUAGCAGCUGCAAAAUCAGCGCAACAGUCCAUACUCAAUAAUUCUCCAAUUGCAGAAGAUAUAGAGGCGGUUGAAUCAAUUGGAAGAAGGAAAUAUUUAAUGGUUGUAGGCAUAAACACUGCAUUUAGCAGCCGUAAACGAAGAGACUCAGUUCGUGCUACUU
rnacentral:misc_RNA from 1 species